GAUGAACGCUAGCGGCAGGCCUAAUACAUGCAAGUCGAACGGUAAGUUGAAUAGCAAUAUUUGACCUAGAGUGACGUACGGGUGCGUAACACGUAUGCAACCUACCUUGUACAGGAGGAUAGCUCGGGGAAACUCGAAUUAACCCUCCAUAAGAUCGUGAAGUGGCAUCACUUAGCGAUAAAAACUCCGAUGGUACAAGAUGGGCAUGCGUCUGAUUAGUUAGUUGGCGGGGUAACGGCCCACCAAGACGAUGAUCAGUAGGGGAACUGAGAGGUUGAUCCCCCACACUGGCACUGAGAUACGGGCCAGACUCCUACGGGAGGCAGCAGUAGGGAAUAUUGGUCAAUGGAUGCAAGUCUGAACCAGCCAUGCCGCGUGCAGGAAGAAGGCCUUCUGGGUUGUAAACUGCUUUUGCCAGGGGAUAAAAAGACCUUGCGAGGUUAAUUGAAGGUACCUGGUGAAUAAGCCACGGCUAACUACGUGCCAGCAGCCGCGGUAAAAC
rnacentral:rRNA from 1 species